rnacentral:misc_RNA from 1 species
GACAACAUACGACAUUGUAAGAACCAAUGUGAAGUCUUUAUGUGGUGAUCAGUAUUAUGAAGACAGAGAUGAGGAGUUGACAUGGGAUUAUAUGAUUCUUGAUGAGGGACAUCUCAUAAAGAAUCCCAGUACACAGAGGGCUAAAAGUUUGCAUGAGAUUCCUUGUGCUCAUCGUAUCAUAAUAAGUGGCACGCCUCUUCAAAACCACCUCAAGGAGUUAUGGGCGCUAU